GGGGAAUAUUGCACAAUGGGCGAAAGCCUGAUGCAGCAACGCCGCGUGAGCGAUGAAGGCCUUCGGGUCGUAAAGCUCUGUCCUCAAGGAAGAUAAUGACGGUACUUGAGGAGGAAGCCCCGGCUAACUACGUGCCAGCAGCCGCGGUAAUACGUAGGGGGCUAGCGUUAUCCGGAAUUACUGGGCGUAAAGGGUGCGUAGGUGGUUUUUUAAGUCAGAAGUGAAAGGCUACGGCUCAACCGUAGUAAGCUUUUGAAACUAGAGAACUUGAGUGCAGGAGAGGAGAGUAGAAUUCCUAGUGUAGCGGUGAAAUGCGUAGAUAUUAGGAGGAAUACCAGUAGCGAAGGCGGCUCUCUGGACUGUAACUGACACUGAGGCACGAAAGCGUGGGGAGCAAACA
rnacentral:rRNA from 1 species